ACACUACUGCUGGCAGCGCUGUCACGCGCGCCCCUGCCCCGGGCUCCCGGUUAGUCUGGUAAAGGUUCCAAAAUCUUCAGGGGUGGCCAGCUGGGCGACGCAGUGCCCCCAGAGGGAGGCGUCCCUGGGGAGCUGAUGGGGGACUUGGAGCCAUAAGGAGUGGAAGAAAAAGCGAGGACGUCUGUAGAGAGGGGGAUGGAGCCAAAAGGGUGAACUCAAAUCCUUCCUGCAUUACUACUGGCCAAAGAACAGUGGAGAUGGGUCUCCGUCUUGUGCCACACCAUGACCCGGGCAGAACAAAGUGAACAGAGCAUUUUCCUCCUGCAGCCCCUGCAAACUGGCCUGCAGAGGCCUCCUCUCGGCUAGAACUCAGAACCCUCUCAGCGUGAUAUCUUGCAUGGUCAAGGAAUGCUGCAGUUGAAGGGGACUUACCUUUUGGUUCUGGCCAGAAGGCUGAGAGUGAUGGAAAGGACCUCGGAGACCACUGAGUCCCAUAGUCUCAUUUUCCAGAAGAAAGUCCAAAGUGAAAGGCAGAGAGGCAACCACCAAUUCCUUCUGGAAGCUGGAAGCCUAUAGAUGACAAACAAAAAGUGUGAAAUAAUCCAAACGAAUUGAUUCCAUGUAUGUUAGCAAGUUCACAGGCCCUGGAAAGAUGAUGAUCUGCCUUUCCUGAGAGUAAUUCAAAAUAAAACAACACUGAAGACUCA